rnacentral:rRNA from 1 species
CACGUAGGGCGCAAGCGUUGUCCGGAAUUAUUGGGCGUAAAGAGCUCGUAGGCGGUCUGUUGCGUCUGCUGUGAAAACCCGGGGCUUAACCCCUGGCUUGCAGUGGAUACGGACAGACUAGAGGUAGGUAGGGGAGAAUGGAAUUCCCGGUGUAGCGGUGAAAUGCGCAGAUAUCAGGAGGAACACCGGUGGCGAAGGCGGUUCUCUGGGCCUUACCUGACACUGAGGAGCGAAAGCGUGGGGAGCGAACAGG